CCAAUUUUACUAAGGUUGACCUCGGAUCAGGUAGGAAUACCCGCUGAACUUAAGCAUAUCAAUAAGCGGAGGAA
rnacentral:rRNA from 1 species